rfam:Myotis brandtii contig173607, whole genome shotgun sequence.
GGAGGUUCUCAGGUGAUGCACCCUGGAAUUGGGCUCCUUCCUCUCUGGUUCUGUGUGCGUCACCCAAGAACCGCA